AAGAAUUAGGGCAACAUGUAGCGAAAAUUUAGCUACAUUAGGGUUACUUGGGUGGCAAGUAAUGGGAGUGGCGGCAGAGUAUGGAUUGUUCCCUCCUUUUUGUUGUCUUGGGCUUCAAACUCACACUAUAUUUAUAAACUUACUCAAGAAAAAAACUAAUUAGUACUUUUGCCAAAUUUGACCCCCUUUAUUAACAUAAAAAUUUAAAAUUUAAACAAAACAAAUGAAACUUAAAAAUUUUAAAUCUGAAUUAGAAAAUUUC
rnacentral:lncRNA from 1 species